GAUGUUGCUUUAAUUGAUGAAGUGGGAAAUUUAGUUGACCAUCACAGAGAUAUGCGCUUGGACAUUGAGGAUAUGUCUUAUGAGGAUCUCCUUGCAUUGGGUGAGAGGAUUGGCAAUGUUAGCACCGGUUUAUCAGAGGAAACAAUCACAAAUCAGUUGAAAACAAAAUCCUAUUCCUCAAGUGCUACUGGUAUUAAUCUGGAGGAGGAAGCUUGUGAUGAUCAGGAAACAGAUUCUUGAAUAAUAUGUCAGGAAGUUGAGUGUGGGGGCGGACUUUCACUGCUUCAAGUAUAUGAUCGACCCAAAAUGUGAGGACAUUGGAGGAACUACACAAACCUGUUGAGCAGUUUCUUGGAGAUUUUUUUAGCACAAUUCAUGUUCGUCUGUCCAACAGGAGUUACCAUCAGUCUUUUGUUCAGGAUAUAGAGGGCCUGAUCAACAAAAUUAACAAGUCCAUAGUGGCUCCAUUGCCAACAAAAUAUUCUGGUGCAUUCAGAGGCCAAGGACUUUGUGCAGCUUAACUGAAAUUGUUUCUUUUGAUACAAAAGCAAUCUUGUUGGAGGUAGGAGAUGCUGUCAACACUGUUAAGAGAGCUUGCAACAUUAAGAAUCAGCAGUAGAAGUGUGAGGAGCUCUGGCUGCUGUUGCAAGGUGUCUUGAAAGUGCAGAACUAGAAGCCAGUACUGGAGGAAAAACUAUUGUUGCUGUAAGGGAGAGCUGAGAAAGAGCAAUUCAAUACAACCUUGGAAACAAUGCAUACCUAGGCAGAGCAUGGAGAAAAACAGAUAAGCUCAUUCUUUUCAUUUACUUUUAAUUGCAGUUAUAGAUUUUUAAUAGUAAUGUACAUAACUUUAACUAGCAUAGUAUUUAGUAGGAUAGAUAAUAUGAUGCUUUUC